rnacentral:rRNA from 1 species
CUGGCUCAGGAUGAACGCUGGCGGCGUGCCUAACACAUGCAAGUCGAGCGUGAAACCCUUAGAAUGAAACUUCGGUCGAAUGGAAGAGGGGGAAAGCGGCGGACGGGUGAGUAACGCGUAGGCAACCUGCCCCGUACAGAGGGAUAGCCUCGGGAAACCGGAUUAAAACCUCAUAAUACCAUGGUAUCACAUGAUGCAAUGGUCAAAGAUUUAUCGGUAUGGGAUGGGCCUGCGUCUGAUUAGCUGGUUGGUGGGGUAACGGCCUACCAAGGCAACGAUCAGUAGCCGACCUGAGAGGGUAAUCGGCCACAUUGGAACUGAGACACGGUCCAAACUCCUACGGGAGGCAGCAGUGGGGAAUAUUGCACAAUGGGCGAAAGCCUGAUGCAGCAACGCCGCGUGAGCGAAGAAGGCCUUUGGUCGUAAAGCUCUGUCGGGAAGGAAGAUAAUGACGGUACUUCCCGAGGAAGCCCCGGCUAACUACGUGCCAGCCGCAGC